UGUAAUUUUAAACCUUCAAUUCCUCUGAUUUUCUACUCUUUUGCCUUUUAGCCUCAAAUCUCGCGAUGUUUUAAUAGUAUUAUGAUUGAUUCUCGCGAGAUUAUCGUUUAGCCAAUCGCGGUUGAGUACUGGGGUCACAUGUACCUUUCCAGUUUACCGGCUAGGUAUAUUAGCUCAAGCAAAAGGGCGUGAAGGGUAGAACGCGUUGGAAGGAGCAGAGCUGGCAGGUCAGUUAAAGCGUAGCAUCAUUUAAUUGCUGUAAAUGUGUACGAUGCUCACUUAAUGUGCUGAACUAUAGGAUCCCAUUAUUGUGAGCCGGAAAGUGAGAUGAAAAAGAUCCGGUAGUAUGACACAAAACUGCGGAACUGGCCAGGUGGAUGGUGAGCUAUGAGACCAGGCCUAGAGCCAAAGAAAGAUUUCACCUGUUGGUGACAGAAGACUGCUUACUUCUCCUACCCAGCUGGUAGGAGAAUCCUACAAAGAACUCUGUUCCUUCUUUGAUUGGACUUUCAAUUACCCAGGAUAUGAACCACGCCCUGGAUACUCCCCUUGUUUGCAAGCCUGAUUAAUCCCCAUUCGGGGUGGAUGGACUAAGGGGUUGUAAAAUGAACUUUGGGAACGAUUGAUUAAUUUGUUUUUUUCCCCUUUGUUGUGUUUCUUCUUUUCUCCUCUGUUUUCCUUUUUAUUUCAUUGUUUUGUUUUUUUUCCCUUGAUGGCCAUUUGCAUAUCCCAAUGUUGUGGUUGUAAAUAUGUAUAUAUGAUAUUCACAUUGCAAAUACAAAACACUCGCAGCUGCAGAACUCUA